rnacentral:rRNA from 1 species
UACGUAGGGGCCAAGCGUUGUCCGGAUUUAUUGGGCGUAAAGGGCGUGUAGGCGGUUUGUUAAGUCUGGCGUGAAAGCUCUCGGCUAAACCGGGAGAGGUCGUUGGAUACUGGCGAACUAGAGGAUGGUAGAGGCGUGUGGAAUUCCGGGUGUAGUGGUGAAAUGCGUAGAGAUCCGGAGGAACACCAGUGGCGAAGGCGACACGCUGGGCCAUACCUGACGCUAAAGCGCGACAGCAUGGGGAGCAAACGGG